rnacentral:rRNA from 1 species
GGAUGAAGUAGGCGGAAUUUGUGGUGUAGCGGUGAAAUGCUUAGAUAUCACGAGGAACUCCGAUUGCGCAGGCAGCUUACUAAACCACUACUGACGCUCAUGCACGAAGGCGUGGGGAUCAAACAGGAUUAGAUACCCUGGUAGUCCACGCAGUAAACGAUGAUUACUAGUUGUUUGCGAUACAAUGUAAGCGACUGAGCGAAAGCGUUAAGUAAUCCACCUGGGGAGUACGUCCGCAAGAAUGAAACUCAAAGGAAUUGACGGGGGCCCGCACGAGCGGAGGAACAUGUGGUUUAAUUCGAUGAUACGCGAGGAACCUUACCCGGGCUUGAAAUGCGGCGGACCGGCAGAGAGAUCUGCCUUCCCUUCGGGGCCGCCGUGUAGGUGCUGCAUGGUUGUCGUCAGCUCGUGCCGUGAGGUGUCGGCUUAAGUGCCAUAACGAGCGCAACCCUCAUCAUUAGUUACUAACAGGUCAUGCUGAGGACUCUAGUGAGACUGCCAUCGUAAGAUGCGAGGAAGGUGGGGAUGACGUCAAAUCAGCACGGCCCUUACGUCCGGGGCGACACACGUGUUACAAUGGGUGGUACAAAGGGCAGCUACCUGGCGACAGGAUGCUAAUCUCCAAAACCACUCUCANUUCGGAUCGGAGUCNGCNACUCGACUCCGUGAAGCUGGAUUC